CCUACGGGAGGCAGCAGUGGGGAAUAUUGGGCAAUGGGCGCAAGCCUGACCCAGCAACGCCGCGUGAGGGAAGAAGGCUUUCGGGUUGUAAACUUCUUUUAUGAGGGACGAAAGAAAUGACGGUACGUCAUGGAUAAGCCACGUCUAACUACGUGCCAGCAGCCGCGGUAAUACGUAGGUGGCAAGCGUUAUCCGGAUUUACUGGGUGUAAAGGGCGUGUAGGCGGGAAUGUAAGUCAGAUGUGAAAAUUAUGGGCUUAACCCAGACACUGCUUUUGAAACUGUAGUUCUUGAGUGAAGGAGAGGUAGGCGGAAUUCCGGGUGUAGCGGUGAAAUGCGUAGAUAUACGGAGGAACACCAGUGGCGAAGGCGGCCUGCUGGACAUUAACUGACGCUGAGGCGCGAAAGCGUGGGGAGCAAACAGGAUUAGAUACCCUUGUAGUC
rnacentral:rRNA from 1 species